AAGAGCUUCCUUUCCAGCCUCGGCCUCGGACUCUGUAGCCGUUGCGAUGUUGAUGCCCAAGAAAAACCGGAUUGCCAUCUAUGAACUCCUUUUUAAGGAGGGCAUGAUGGUAGCCAAGAAAGACGUCCAUAUGCCUAAGCAUCCAGAGCUGGCCGACAACAAUGUGCCCAACCUUCAUGUCAUGAAAGCCAUGCAGUCUCUCAAGUCUCGAGGCUAUGUGAAGGAACAGUUUGCUUGGAGACAUUUCUACUGGUACCUUACCAACGAGGGUAUCCAGUAUCUACGUGAUUACCUCCACCUGCCCCCUGAGAUUGUGCCAGCCACCCUGCGCCGCAGCCAUCCAGAGACUGGCAGUCCUCGGCCCAAAGGUCUGGAGGGUGAACGACCUGCAAGACUCACAAGAGGGGAAGCUGACAGAGACAUCUACAGACAGAGUGCUGUGCUCCCUGGUGCUGACAAGAAAGCCGAGGCUGGGGCUGGGUCAGCAACUGAAUUCCAGUUUAGAGGCGGAUUUGGUCGUGGACGUGAUCAGCCACCUCAGUAAAAUUGGAGAGGAUUAUUUUGUGUGGAAUAAACUUGUAGCCAGAA